rnacentral:tRNA from 1 species
GGACUCUUGGUGAAAUUGGCAAACACACAGGAUUUAAGCUCCUGCACCGUAAGGUUUGAGGGUUCAAGUCCCUCAGAGUCUA